UACGUAGGGAGCAAGCGUUGUCCGGAAUCAUUGGGCGUAAAGCGCGCGUAGGUGGCCUCGUAAGUCCGCUGUGAAAGUCAAAGGCUCAACCUUUGAAAGCCGGUGGAUACUGUGAGGCUAGAGUACGCAAGAGGCGAGUGGAAUUCCUGGUGUAGCGGUGGAAUGCGCAGAUAUCAGGAGGAACACCAAUAGCGAAGGCAGCUCGCUGGGACGUUACUGACACUGAGGCGCGAAAGCGUGGGGAGCGAACAGG
rnacentral:rRNA from 1 species